UUGUAGGGAAAUCCUGAGCAGCAGAAUAGCUGGUCUUGCCGGUGCGAGUGCCCUUAAAUGAUCAGACUUUUUAGAGCUGCUCACAAUGGAUGGUUGAUAGGUGAGCACCGGUCAAGCCACAACCAUUCAAUGUCCCUUACUUGCGGUGAAAAGGUUCAUUGGCCGUCCCACAAGCACAUAGAUAUGUACACAAAAGACUUGGUGAAGCAGCUUAGGGGGAACAAUGUGAACCUCAACAAGGUGUACACCAUAGUUGGCAGCUUCUCCUGUUCAUCUCAAAAUGUGCCUUUGACAAAGCAGUCUCUCCUGAAUCUGUGUGGCCGGAUAAGUCGAGACCAGGCUGCCGAUGAUGUGAACAAGACCCUUGCUGUGUUUAAAGAGAUACAAUGCAACGACCCAGAGUUCACCUACAGAAUCCAAGGGGAUGACGAAAGCAGAAUCAAGAUCAUGUGGACAAAUGAAAAUAGCAAGCUGCAGUACAAAUUCUUUGGUGAUGUCAUCGUUUGGCACAACGUAUCGGACUAA
rnacentral:rRNA from 1 species